GGUAACUCGUGACCAACAGGCGAUUAAUGUACACGAUUCGCGACUUUAUCGACAGGUCGAAGAGGCUUCGAGGGUUGAGUGGGGAACGGAAACGGGUUGAGUCAACAGCUAAAAGCCACAUUCUGUCGAGGGGGUAAGUACGCAAUUGACAAAUUAGUUUUGAAAUACAUUCAAGACAGUCAAAUUGCGGCAAGUCACGCAAUUCUUAAGUCGAGGCGCCCCUAAGGAUUCACUGGCAUUAUUUAUUGCUUUCUUUGUCAAGGUGUAUCUGUAUUUGUAUAUAUGUGUAUGUGUGUGUGUCUUUGCAAAUUACGUAAAUGAACUUUCAUUGAAGAAGCGUCGAGACAUUCAAGGCGGUUGGGGGACCCAAAGAGCGAGCAUUUUAGUGCACAUACAAAAAUAUAUAUCUAUCUAUCUAUCGAAUAUAGACUAAAGACUAUCUGGCAGCCAAUAGCCAAAGAGAUAGUCGCUGUCCGUUUGUCCGUCAGGCCGUUAAAAAUACGCAGCUGACAUAGACGACAGCACACAUAAUCGCAUAUAGAUAGAUAUAGAAGCACAGUCUAAAUAAUAUAUAUAUAUUUUGUGUCUAGUAUUGUAGUGUGAAAUGUAAAAUGUGUUCUUCUUUCGUUUGUGGCUGCUGCUGCUCUCAAAAGUAAAUAUUUUGUUUUAUUUUCAUGUUCGAGAAAAUGCUACGACGACGAACUUGACAGUGUGCAGAAGAAUGAAAAAUGCCUGCCCCCAAAAAUAAAAAGACGAACCAUCAUCUUAUCCAUCCCAUACUAUCCAUCCAUAUACUUAUCGCUACACUUAUGCAAUACAGAUAAAUUAUAAAAUAGGUGGGUGGGAAAAUGCUUGCAAAAGUAGCCUUACGUUUCUCCUACAUAGAUCGUAGAGUAAAGUAUACUAAAAAGUGUACUACAAACAAACUAAACUAUAUAAUCAUUUAUCAAAAGGUCAACUUACCCUCUUUCUCAGUCAGAUCGGAGAACUUGACACCACCGCUAUAUUUAUGGGAGAGAUAAGAGAAGAGAGCAUUAAGAGAACGAUUAGAGCAAUCAUAUUUCAAGUGGAUGACGAUAAAAAAGGCACUACACAUAAGCUACGGUUCAAGUUCAAUUACUUUGCUUGGAUAUAAAAGAUAAGAAUUUAAAAAAUGUUUGUUUUUUUUUUUUGUUUUUCAAGAGUGAAUUGACAUUACUAUAUUUAGAGAUAAGUAUGUAGAUAGAUGUACUUUUUAUUUAUAUU